rnacentral:rRNA from 1 species
GACGAACGCUGGCGGCGCGCUUAACACAUGCAAGUCGAGCGGUAAGGCCCUUUCGGGGGUACACGAGCGGCGAACGGGUGAGUAACACGUGGGUGACCUGCCCUCAGCUCUGGGAUAAGCCUGGGAAACCGGGUCUAAUACUGGAUAUGACUCCAUGACGCAUGUUGUGGGGUGGAAAGCCUUGUGCGGCUGAGGAUGGGCCCGCGGCCUAUCAGCUUGUUGGUGGGGUGAUGGCCUACCAAGGCGACGACGGGUAGCCGGCCUGAGAGGGCGACCGGCCACACUGGGACUGAGACACGGCCCAGACUCCUACGGGAGGCAGCAGUGGGGAAUCUUGCGCAAUGGGCGAAAGCCUGACGCAGCGACGCCGCGUGAGGGAUGAAGAUCUAAGGAUACGUAAACCUCUGUUAGAAGGGACGAACUAACCCCAUGGU